AAAGACUGAGAUGUUGGCCAGUUGCACACAUGGUUGCUCCACUAAGGAGCACGUUUCCGCAAAGAAAUGUGGUCUGGUUGCACUCUUCACCUUGACCUCUACAACCCCUUAUGUUCCUUUGGUUGGAAUUAUGAUCAGUGCUUCCAGACACCUCCCUCCUUUUCUCCCUGUCCCCACAGAGACUGACAGACUGUUACGUACAGUGUUUAUGUAAGCGUAGAUGGGAUUGCUGGAACAUGUUGGGAAGCAAGACUGGUUUUGCCUCAGCAAGUAGGGAUGUUUGUUGUGAGACCGUGGAAAAAACACAUGCAGUUUGGAAAACGACAUUACAUCAGGUGCAAGAAAGGUGACUACCUCUAACGUGGUAGUGAAGGAAGGGAGAGGUAUAAGACCUAUAUCCUGAGAUGAGUGACUGAUGGAUCUCUGCAAGGUGCAGUUCAGCUGGGGCCUGAUGGGAGCUGGAGCACAGAGGACGUGAGGAGAGAAUGGCUCAGCAUCUUCCCUGACCAGGUUUUCAGGACUUCUGCUAAGGUGGCAGACACAACCUGGGCGACCACCAGUGGAUCAGCUUGUAAGAAGAAGGGGGACCAUAUUGCUGGAGGAACACCGUGAAGACUUCUGGCUUGUGGCCAUGCCCCAUCUCACCCCUCCUCAGGAGAUGGAUUGUAUGGGGCAGUACCUUAUUUUCUGGGGAUGAUACUCAGCUUCAAGAAGAACAAACUAUGAAGCACGCUGAAUGUGCAUUGCCGUGAUGCCUGUGUCUAAAGCCUUGUGCUAUGGCAAACUUCAGACCUGAAAGAAAUCCUAUUGUUUGUCGAUGGGAGAGGCCCCAGCUCAGCUUUAAUCAGUAAUUAAAACCAAGCUCAUGUCAUA
ensembl:lncRNA